UACGAAGGUGGCGAGCGUUGUUCGGAUUUACUGGGCGUAAAGGGAGCGUAGGCGGCAUUGUAUGUCGGAUGUGAAAGCCCACGGCUCAACCGUGGAAAUGCAUUCGAAACUGCAGUGCUAGAGUAUUGGAGAGGUAAGCGGAAUUCUAGGUGUAGCGGUGAAAUGCGUAGAUAUCUAGAGGAACACCAGCGGCGAAGGCGGCUUACUGGACAAAUACUGACGCUGAGGCUCGAAAGCCGGGGGAGCGAAGAGG
rnacentral:rRNA from 1 species